UGCCUUACUUCAGCUCAUUUGCAAGUGAGCUGUGAGUUACAGGAAGUCAAUAUCCAAACUAUAAAACUUGAUUCAAAUGGACAAUCCACUCUUAAGGAUUGUACAUUUUAGUAAGAAUGGGUUUCCCUUUAAAUGUGAACAUGCUUUCUCACCAGUAGAACAUGCUCUUUGAGGGUUUAUUUUCCACACAGGUUCAUGUUCAUGCACAUGCUCCCAUCCUUGCCUGGGCAGCAGGCUACAGCGGACUGAGAGGGAUGAGCACAGAGGAGACCCUUGCACAGGGGCUUGUGGUGAGCAGAACAGAGUUCCACAAAUAGAUGCUAUUCAUUGUUGUGUGCUCACAAGAGUAACCUUUUUGAUUUUCCCGUCUCUGUUGCAUACAGGAACUGAGAGGAGGAAUGGGAAAGUUAAAAUGACAAAGUGGAACAGGAAGAACAGGAGAUUUCAGCCAAGUUGUUUUGCAGGAAGCCUUUACAGAAGCAGAAGGCACCCCAGCAGCGAGACCAGCACCCCCAAGCUCCUUCCCUGGAACUACAUACACUCAGCAGCUCAGCAUCAGGCUGCCACAGCUUUGAACCGGAAGAAAACAAGGAAUGAUCAGCCUGUGGAGAAAAUGUCUCCCAAGAACCGAGAAUCCCAAGCAGAAAGAAUGAGAGCACACACUUGCACCACCACCAUUUGUUCCAGUAGAUCUCAUGUUGCCCAAAAGGUCCCCAGAGAUUAAAUAUCUCUGCCCUCGACCCCAUCCUGGCCAACCUUUCCUUCUCCCACAUCAGCCCAUUACCUUCCCACCCAUCCUGCUCCCUCCAGCUCAACACAUCAAGUCAGCUCAACUCAAUCACACAAAGCAAGAGAACUGCAUUUGAGACUCAAAACACUCUCCAUUCAGUUAUGCAUGGAAGAGCCGAAGAUAGCACUGGCAAAUACAUGGCAUAAGCCCUGGUCCUCCCUCCUCUGGUGCCAGAUCAGACAUCAACAAUCAAUCACACUGUUUUCCAGCUGAUCCCAGACAAAGCUCCAAAACCCCUCUCCCAGCUCUACAGGCAGCCACCAUCCAUCAGUCAAAGCUGUCAGUUGAGAUAAGAUCUACUUGCUAAGUAUAGGAAGACUUAAGUCAAACCAGGACUCUAUAUUCAUGUAUUAGGUACAGCAAAGAAUAGUGACCAACUGCACAGUAGUAAGCACUCUGUAGGCAAUGAAUAAAUAUGUUCUAGUGACGUAUGCACAACCUGCCAUGCACCUAUAAAAUGUUCAAAAAUUACAGAAGAACUCUAAUAGGGUGAUUUGUUUGGGGAAUGACCUCAAAUUGUAACUCUUUUAUAUUUAAAUUUACUAAAAACUCUAAAAUUAUGGAAAUGCAAACUGGUGGAGCCACUCUGGAAAACAGUAUGGAGGUUCCUCAAAAAAUUAAAAAUAGAACUGCCCUACGACCCAGCAAUUGCACUAUUGGGAUACAGGAGUGCUAUUUCAAAGGGGCAGGCACAUGCACCCCAAUGUUUAUAGCAGUGCUAUUGACAAUAGCCAAAGUACGUAAAGAGCCCAAAUGUCUACUGACUAAUGAAUGGAUAAAGAAGAUGUGAUAUAUAUCAAUGGAAUAUUACCAAUGGUUAAAAAGAAUGAAAUCUUGCCAUUUGCAACAACGUGGAUGGAAUUGGAAUGUAUUAUGCUACGUGAAAUAAGCCAGUCAGAGAAAGACAAAUAUGAUUUCACUCAAAUGUGGAAUUUAAGAUACAAAACACAUGAACAUAAAGGAAGGGAAGAAAAAUAAUAUAAAAACAGGGAGGGAGACAAACCAUAAGAAACUCUUACUAAAGACAGAGAACAAAUUGAGGGUUGUUGGUGGGAUGUUGGGUACGGGGAUGGGCUAAAUGGGCAAGGGGCAUUAAGGAGGACACUUGUUGGGAUGAGCACUGGGUAUUAUAUGUAAGUGAUGAAUCAUUAAAUUCUAUUCCUGAAAUCAUUAUUAUACUAUAUGUUAACUAACUUGGAUGUAAAUUAAAAAUAAUAAAAAAAUAAGAAUCAAAAAUAAGUAAAUACUCUAAAAUUAUAGCAGCAUGCAUCCUUGGCUUAGUAGGUACUAUGUACUAUAUAUAAUUAUUUGAUGAUUAAAGAUCCAAGGUUAUAAUUUAAAAUUUUUUUGUUUUAUUAUAGUAAUUAAUUUUUUUUUUUUAUUAAGCCCUGCCUUACCCAUGAAACUAUACUGACUCCCAAUGAUAGCUAAUCCUUGGAUGGGGCAGAAGGAGGUGCUUGGCUUGAAUAUUAGCUAACUAACUCCAGAAUUAAAUAAAUCAGCAAAUAUUCAAUCCAAAUAGUUACUUUGACUAGUAAGUAGUUUAUUUACCAUAAAAGGUCAGCACAACCCAAAACUUCUGUCAGCUGGGGACCCAGGCUGAUGGAGUGGCCAAUUCCCAUUCAAGCAACUAUCAUAACGAAUAUAAUUAGGAAAGAAGAGAACUAGUAAGCUUCAAAUCACAUAGGAAUGCCAUGAAUGAAGACCAUACUCCCACUCCUUGUGUAACUCCAAAAAGAAAACAAACUCAAAAAAAGCUCAAAAGCUACAUUGGUUGUGUUGCUUUAGGGGUUUUUUUUUUGUUUUGUUUUGCUUUGUUUUGUUUUUUAUAUAGGAUUGGUCUGCUGACUUUAACU